GUAGGUGGCAAGCGUUGUCCGGAAUUAUUGGGCGUAAAGCGCGCGCAGGCGGUUCUUUAAGUCUGAUGUGAAAGCCCACGGCUCAACCGUGGAGGGUCAUUGGAGACUGGGGAACUUGAGUACAGAAGAGGAAAGCGGAAUUCCACGUGUAGCGGUGAAAUGCGUAGAGAUGUGGAGGAACACCAGUGGCGAAGGCGGCUUUCUGGUCUGUAACUGACGCUGAGGCGCGAAAGCGUGGGGAGCAAACAGGAUUAGAUACCCUGGUAGUCCACGCCGUAAACGAUGAGUGCUAAGUGUUAGGGGGUUUCCGCCCCCCUUAGUGCUGCAGCUAACGCAUUAGGCACUCCGCCCCGGGGAGUACGGCCGCAAGGCUG
rnacentral:rRNA from 1 species